UACGUAGGCCCCGAGCGUUACCCGGAGUUACUGGGCGUAAAGCGUCCGUAGCUGGGUUUGUAAGUCUAUCUUCAAAAACCGAAGCUUAACUUCGGAGAGGGGGUAGAUACUGCCAAUCUAGAGAUGCUGAGAGGUUAGUGGAAUUUCCGGUGGAGCGGUGGAAUGCGUUGAUAUCGGAAGGAACGCCAAAAGUGAAGACAGCUAACUAUCGGUUUUCUGACAGUCAGGGACGACAGCUUGGGUAGCGAACCGGAUUAGAUACCCGAGUAGUCCCAGCCGUAAACUCUGUGGAUUAGGUGUCACAUAUUCUUCGGGAAUAUGUGGUGUCGUAGUGAAGACGUUAAAUCCACCACCUGGGGAGUACGGUCGCAAGAUUGAAACUUAAAGGAAUUGGCGGGGGAGCACCACAAGGGGUGCGGCGUGCCGUUUAAUUCAAAUCUACGCGGAGAAUCUUACCAGGAGCGACGGUAAUAUGAAGGUCAGCUUGAAGAGCUUACCUGAUAAGCCGAGAGGUACUGCAUGGCCGCCGUCAGCUCGUGCCGUGAGGUGUCCUGUUAAGUCAGGUAACGAGCGAGACCUAUACUUCUAAUUGCUAACAGCUUUGGGACUGAGCACUUUAGAGGGACUGCCCGGGAAACUGGGAGGAAGGUGUAGGCAACGGCAGGUCUGUAUGAUCCGAAUCCCCUGGGCUACACGCGCGCAACAAUGGUAAAGACAAUGGGAUGCGACUCCGAAAGGAGAAGCUAAUCCUUCAAACUUUAUCUUAGUUCAGAUCGAGGGUUGUAACUCACCCUCGUGACGAUGGAAUCCCUAGUAAUCGGGUUUUAUCAUGGCCCGGUGAAUAUGUCCCGGCUCCU
rnacentral:rRNA from 1 species